rnacentral:rRNA from 1 species
AUUGAACGCUGGCGGCAGGCCUAACACAUGCAGGUCGAACGGUAACAGGAAGACGCUUGCUUCUUUGCUGACGAGUGGCGGACGGGUGAGUAAUGUCUGGGAAACUGCCUGAUGGAGGGGGAUAACUACUGGAAACGGUAGCUAAUACCGCAUAACGUCGCAAGACCAAAGAGGGGGACCUUCGGGCCUCUUGCCAUCGGAUGUGCCCAGAUGGGAUUAGCUAGUAGGUGGGGUAACGGCUCACCUAGGCGACGAUCCCUAGCUGGUCUGAGAGGAUGACCAGCCACACUGGAACUGAGACACGGUCCAGACUCCUACGGGAGGCAGCAGUGGGGAAUAUUGCACAAUGGGCGCAAGCCUGAUGCAGCCAUGCCGCGUGUAUGAAGAAGGCCUUCGGGUUGUAAAGUACUUUCAGCGGGGAGGAAGGGAGUAAAGUUAAUACCUUUGCUCAUUGACGUUACCCGCAGAAGAAGCACCGGCUAACUCCGUG